rnacentral:rRNA from 1 species
GAUGAACGCUAGCGGCACGCUUCAUACAUGCAAGUCGAGGGGCAGCAUAAAGUACUUGUACUUUGAUGGCGACCGGCGAACGGGUGCGUAACGCGUAUGCAACUUACCUUUUACUAGAGAAUAGCCAAGAGAAAUUUUGAUUAAUGCUCCAUACUCUUUUUAACUCACAUGAGUUUUUAAGAAAAGCUCCGGCGGUAAAAGAUGGGCAUGCGUCCUAUUAGCUUGUAGGUGAGGUAACGGCUCACCUAAGCUCCGAUAGGUAGGGGUCCUGAGAGGGAGAUCCCCCACACUGGUACUGAGACACGGACCAG